GCCGGAUCAUUAAGGAGUCAGCCUGCCCAGUGAUAAAAUUAAACGGCCGCGGUACCCUGACCGUGCAAAGGUAGCAUAAUCACUUGUUCUCUCAAUAGGGACUUGUAUCAACGGCAUCACGAGGGUUAUACUGUCUCCUCUUUUUAAUCAGUGAAACUGACCUCCCCGUGAAGAGGCGGGGAUACUUUUACAAGACGAGAAGACCCCAUGGAGCUUUAAACCCAAUAGCAGCCACACUAAACUUACCCAAGAAUAGAAAAGCAAUGCUUAUUGGUUUUAGGUUGGGGUGACCACGGAGAAAAACUAAACCUCCACGACGAAUGGACCUUAAUCCUAAUCCACGAGCUACCACUCCAAGAAUCAAUAUUUUGACAUAAUAUGAUCCGGUAACCGAUCAACGAACCAAGUUACCCUGGGGAUAACAGCGCAAUCCAUUUCAAGAGCCCCUAUCGACAAAUGGGUUUACGACCUCGAUGUUGGAUCAGGGUAUCCCAGUGGUGCAGCCGCUACUAAAGGUUUGUUUGUUCAACAAUUAAAACCCUACGUGAUCUGAUUUCAAAACCGGA
rnacentral:rRNA from 1 species